GACGAACGCUGGCGGCGUGCCUAAUACAUACAAGUUGAGCGAUGAAGCUUGGUGCUUGCACCAAUUUGAAGAGCAGCGAACGGGUGAGUAACGCGUGGGGAAUCUGCCUUUGAGCGGGGGACAAAAUUUGGAAACGAAUGCUAAUACCGCAUAACAACUUUAAACAUAAGUUUUAAGUUUGAAAGAUGCAAUUGCAUCACUCAAAGAUGAUCCCGCGUUGUAUUAGCUAGUUGGAGAGGUAAAGGCUCACCAAGGCGAUGAUACAUAGCCGACCUGAGAGGGUGAUCGGCCACAUUGGGACUGAGACACGGCCCAAACUCCUACGGGAGGCAGCAGUAGGGAAUCUUCGGCAAUGGACGAAAGUCUGACCGAGCAACGCCGCGUGAGUGAAGAAGGGUUUCGGAUCGUAAAACUCUGUUGGUAGAGAAGAACGUUGGUGAGAGUGGAAAGCUCAUCAAGUGACGGUAACUACCCAGAAAGGGACGGCUAACUACGUG
rnacentral:rRNA from 1 species